AUUGUAGCUUUGUCCUAAAGUUGUAGUCAGUGGUAUUAGCUCCUUGUUGAGCUCAAUCUGACACAACUAAGGGAUGAAACAUACGAGGGUCGAAAUCAGGUAAAAUUAACAGUGAAAAUAGAAUAUGAAAGUGAGGGAGUGUCGCCACCUGACCUGAACGUCAAUUGAAUAUCGUUGAGUUGGAGAAGUCUUCGGUUGGGAUGAUUUCAUGAUGUUAGUGAGACUUGUUAACGUCUGAUAUGAAAUACACCCAUAGCUUGAUGUACCAAUUUAGUUGUUCCAGGUUCAUGGCGAUGGGAUAAAGCUUUCAAUUGCAAUGGGAACUGCAGCUAGGGCUAUUCUGGAGAAGAAGACCCGUCCCUUUCCCUUUCC
rnacentral:lncRNA from 1 species